AACACAUGCAAGUACGAACGGUAACAGGGAAUAGCUUGCUAUUUUGCUGACGAGUGGCGCACGGGUGCGUAACGCGUAUACAAUCUACCUUUUACAGUGGGAUAGCCCAGAGAAAUUUGGAUUAAUAUCGCAUAGUAUUAUUAAUUGGCAUCGAUUGAUAAUUAAAGUUUCGGCGGUAAAAGAUGAGUAUGCGUUCUAUUAGCUAGAUGGUGUGGUAACGGCACACCAUGGCGACGAUAGAUAGGGGCCCUGAGAGGGGGAUCCCCCACACUGGUACUGAGACACGGACCAGACUCCUACGGGAGGCAGCAGUGAGGAAUAUUGGACAAUGGGCGAGAGCCUGAUCCAGCCAUGCCGCGUGCAGGAAGACUGCCCUAUGGGUUGUAAACUGCUUUUAUACAGGAAGAAACCCUCCUACGUGUAGGAGGCUGACGGUACUGUAAGAAUAAGGAUCGGCUAACUCCGUGCCAGCAGCCGCGGUAAUACGGAGGAUCCAAGCGUUAUCCGGAAUCAUUGGGUUUAAAGGGUCCGUAGGUGGAUAAUUAAGUCAGAGGUGAAAGUCUGCAGCUCAACUGUAGA
rnacentral:rRNA from 1 species